AACGAACGCUGGCGGCAUGCCUAACACAUGCAAGUCGAACGAGACCUUCGGGUCUAGUGGCGCACGGGUGCGUAACGCGUGGGAACCUGCCCUUAGGUUCGGAAUAACUCCCCGAAAGGGGUGCUAAUACCGGAUAAUGUCUUCGGACCAAAGAUUUAUCGCCUUUGGAUGGGCCCGCGUUGGAUUAGCUAGUUGGUAGGGUAAAAGCCUACCAAGGCGACGAUCCAUAGCUGGUCUGAGAGGAUGAUCAGCCACACUGGGACUGAGACACGGCCCAGACGCCUCGGGGAGGCAGAGGGGGGGAAAAUUGGAAAAGGGGCGAAAGCCUAAGCCAGCAAUGCCGCGUGGGUGAUGAAGGCUUUGGGGUUGUAAAGCUUUUUUACCCGGGAUGAUAAGGACAGUACCGGGAAAAAAAGCCCCGGCAACCCCCGU
rnacentral:rRNA from 1 species